ACUAUAAAGCCAACCAAGACUUAGAAGGAGCAAUACAGUCUCUAUGGAUUCCCGUUAACUCUACAGAUAUGGAGUUAUGAAGCUAUUCCCCUUAUCGGGAGGACAUACGCACAGAAAGAUCCAAAAAUUCAGUAUCCAAGGAUAUUGAACUGGAGUACAUCAAUCACUCCUGACUCAACAGAACUCAUCCUAAGUGUUUUUAGAAGGAAGCAGCUUCAAGUACAUGGUCGACUUAUCCCAACCCAGUUGGAGAUGGCACAAGAAUACUGCAUAAAGGCUUCCGAUGUACU